UGUAAAUUUAACUGUUAAUCCAAAGGGGUACAGCUCUUUGGAAUAGGAUACAACCUUAAUUAGAGAGUAAGCAUAAAUCAACUACCAUAGUUGGCCUAAAAGCAGCCAUCAAUUAAGAAAGCGUUCAAGCUCAACAAAUUAAUUAUUAUUUAAUUCAAACAAUAAACUCAAACUCCUAAUACCAAACUGGACUAAUCUAUACCAAUGUAGAAGCAAUACUGUUAAUAUGAGUAACAAGAUUUAAAUCUCCUAGCACAAGUAUACAUCAGAACAAAUAUAUAACUGAUAAUUAACGGCCAAAUAAAUAAAUCCCAUCAUAAAACAUUUAUUUUUACCACCGUUAACCCGACACAGGAGUGCACUUUAAGGAAAGAUUAAAAGAAGUAAAAGGAACUCGGCAAACACAAACCCCGCCUGUUUACCAAAAACAUCACCUCUAGCAUUACUAGUAUUAGAGGCACUGCCUGCCCAGUGACAACUGUUUAACGGCCGCGGUAUCCUGACCGUGCAAAGGUAGCAUAAUCAUUUGUUCCCUAAAUAGGGACUUGUAUGAAUGGCCACACGAGGGUUUAACUGUCUCUUACUUCCAAUCAGUGAAAUUGACCUUUCCGUGAAGAGGCGGAAAUAUACCAAUUAGACGAGAAGACCCUAUGGAGCUUUAAUUUAUCUACUCCAAUAGAAUAACUAAUUACCCACACAGGAAUAACACCUCAUUCUAACUGGAUAGAAAAUUUCGGUUGGGGUGACCUCGGAGUAUAAACUAACCUCCGAGAAUUUUUACCAAGACUAACAAGUCAAAGUACAAUUAUACCAAUUGAUCCAGUCUUACUGAUCAACGGAACAAGUUACCCUAGGGAUAACAGCGCAAUCCUAUUCUAGAGUCCUUAUCGACAAUAGGGUUUACGACCUCGAUGUUGGAUCAGGACAUCCCAAUGGUGUAGCAGCUAUUAAUGGUUCGUUU
rnacentral:rRNA from 1 species